UACGUAGGGUGCAAGCGUUGUCCGGAAUUAUUGGGCGUAAAGAGCUCGUAGGCGCCACUCAAGUCGAAUGUGAAACCUCGAGGCUUAACCUCGAGCCUGCAUUCGAUACUGGGCGGCUAGAGUCUGGUAGGGGGAUCUGGAAUUCCUGGUGUAGCGGUGGAAUGCGCAGAUAUCAGGAGGAACACCGGUGGCGAAGGCGGGAUCCUGGGCCAGUACUGACGCUGAGGAGCGAAAGCGGUGGGGAGCAAA
rnacentral:rRNA from 1 species